GUGGGGAAUCUUCCGCAAUGGACGAAAGUCUGACGGAGCAACGCCGCGUGAGUGAAGAAGGUUUUCGGAUCGUAAAGCUCUGUCUUCAGGGACGAAUGUGUUUCUUGUGAAUAAUGAGAAAUAAUGACGGUACCUGAGGAGGAAGCCACGGCUAACUACGUGCCAGCAGCCGCGGUAAUACGUAGGUGGCGAGCGUUGUCCGGAAUUAUUGGGCGUAAAGAGCGCGUAGGCGGGAUAGCAAGUCUGUCGUAAAAGUGCGGAGCUCAACUCCGUGAGGUCGAUGGAAACUGUUAUUCUUGAGUGCAGGAGAGGAAAGUGGAAUUCCCAGUGUAGCGGUGAAAUGCGUAGAUAUUGGGAGGAACACCAGUGGCGAAGGCGACUUUCUGGACUGUGUCUGACGCUGAGGCGCGAAAGCCAGGGUAGUGAACGGG
rnacentral:rRNA from 1 species